CCUACGGGAGGCAGCAGUGGGGAAUAUUGCACAAUGGGGGAAACCCUGAUGCAGCGCCGCCGCGUGAGUGAAGAAGUAUUUCGGUAUGUAAAGCUUUAUCAGCAGGGAAGAAAAUGACGGUACCUGAUUAAGAAGCCCCGGCUAACUACGUGCCAGCAGCCGCGGUAAUACGGAGGGGGCAAGCGUUAUCCGGAUUUACUUGGUGUAAAGGGCGCGUAGACGGGAGGGCAAGUCUGGAGUGAAAUGCCGGGGCUUAACCCCGGAACUGCUUUGGAAACUGUGUAGCUAGAGUUUAGGAGAGGUAAGUGGAAUUCCUGGUGUAGGGGUGAAAUGCGUAGAGAUUAAGAGGAACACUCGUGGCGAAGGCGGCGUACUGGACUAUAACUGACGUUGAUGCGCGAAAGCGUGGGGAGCAAACAGGAUUAGAUACCCCAGUAGUC
rnacentral:rRNA from 1 species